rnacentral:tRNA from 1 species
CGUCGGCGUAGAUCAGCCCGGUAGCUCGCCAGCCUCAUAAGCUGGAGGGUCGCAGGUUCGAAUCCUGUCGCCGCAACCA